rnacentral:piRNA from 1 species
UAACACUGUCUGGAAACGAUGUU